rnacentral:rRNA from 1 species
UACGAGGGGGGCGAGCGUUGUUCGGAAUUAUUGGGCGUAAAGGGCGCGUAGGCGGUCGGAUAAGUCUUGUGUGAAAUCUUCGGGCUCAACUCGAAGUCUGCACAGGAAACUAUCUGGCUUGAGUGUGGGAGAGGUGAGUGGAAUUCCUGGUGUAGCGGUGAAAUGCGCAGAUAUCAGGAAGAACACCCGUGGCGAAAGCGGCUCUCUGGGACGGUACUGACGCUGAGACGCGAAAGCGUGGGGAGCGAACAGG